rnacentral:lncRNA from 1 species
CACUGAAAACACCUCCACACACAAACAACAGGGCUUUGGGACAUGACAAGAUGUAUCCCUUGUCUGAACAGGUAUUCCCAUAAGUAAAGCUUUUUGUUUGAAACAGAUCUGUUUUGCACCAAGAAGUUGCAUUAUGCUCACUGUUUUGUUGUUGUUUGUCGUUGUUUUUUUUUGGAUGGUUAGUUUUUAUGUGUGUGUGUUUGUUUGUUUGUUUUUCCUUUUAAACUCAGACAGAAUUGCUGUCCUUGGAUUACCAUGAUCAUGUGUCCAGGGCCUGACUGCCCCUCUGCACUGAUGAAUGAAAGUAGUCUGUCUUCUCUUCUGUCAAAUAACUGAUGAGGCAGGUGUGGAAGUUAGCUCUCUCCUAUGCAAAACAGGCCAUUGCAAAUGGAAGCACAAUUUCAAGUUUCUGUAUAAUAUUGAUCCCCAAUUUCAGCCUAAGAGCUGUGAUUACUGAGAUGAAAUGAGCAGUAUCACUUGAGUAGCAACAAUUGUCUUUACUUUUUUUUCCCCACGUUGUUAUCAAGAAUUUGCUAAGCAAUCUAUCACAGUAAGUCAGAUGCAAGCAAGAUCUGCAAUCUAGGAGCCAUAUAGCAGCUGAGAACAUGGAUUUAAGAGGCAGAGGCUUCAAUUUCCUGCUGAAUUUUAUCAGGACCUGGGGUCUGCUGUGUUACACAGAGACAAAGUGUUGACCACAAGAUGGGAGUGGGUCUCUGUAGCAUCUCACAGACUGAGAGGGUCACUGCCUAGAAGUAUAGGACACAAUUAUGGAUUGCAGGGGAAGAGCAUUUGGAGUUUGCACAAAACCUAUUGUGGGAUGUUGAGGGGAGGAAGGGACAGACGUGUUUUAGGGAAGAAAGAAAAAAAAGAGUAAUAUAGAGGGACAAGGGGCUGAGAGGGGGCAGUCACAUGUGAACACAUGGCUGGACAGCAGACUUGUUUGUACAUGCCCUGCACUUGAUCAGCAUAGACUGUCCUUUCUUUUCAUUAAAGAAAAGUUUUCACUUUCCUGAGUGUGGGACUUUCUUAUCUGUGUAUGGAGGUCCAAAAGGCCAGUGACUGGAGUGGGACCACAGGAGCACAGGGGCCUGGGUCUGUGGUGUUGGCAACUGGAGUGGUUUAAAUCAUUGUGUGAUCACUUGUGAAAAUCAAGCUUGACUUGCACACAAGUAGUUGACGUGACCUGGGAGCCAAGUGUGUGCAUCUGCCUCUGUGAGGCUGCUGGACAAGCCAGCUACCAGAUGGACUGGGGUCCCAGCCACCUGCUGGAGGGGCUGUGGGGUCGGUGAGGAGACCAGAGCCCCUCGUGUGCGUGCCUGUGCAUGAGGCACAUGGGAAGAGAGAGGACCUGGGCCCAGCAACUGGAGGGACCAAGUGUCUAAGCCCAGUCACUGGAGGCUGCUAAAGCCAAUUCUUUGCCUUUUUCAUAGCAAUUUACAUCUAUGUAGGCCUGGUUCUGUUUCUGUGAAG